GCAAUAUCAACAUAGAUUGAAGAACUUUCGAGGAUGUUGGACGUUUUCGUAGCCCAAAGGAGUCGAAUGAUGGCAGUUAUGUGUGACUAUUGUGCUGGUAAUCACCCGAGUAAUCAAUGUACCGUUAGUUUUAGGCCGGGACAACACGGUGGUGAAUACCUCAACGAUUAUACAUAUGCUAAUUAUCAUCAAGUUUGGGGGUAUCACCCGGAUUCGUUAUGGAGCUAUACUUAUGAAGACCAAUACUACGCUCCAAAUCUAACAUAUCCAUCAAAUUUCUCAAAUCCACCUCCAAUGCAACAAGAAGACAAUUCAGAGUUAAAGGAAUUCAUGUUAAGGAGUAUAACAGAAAAAGAAGAGAUGAUAAUGAGUCAGGAGUUAUCAAAC
rnacentral:lncRNA from 1 species